CCUGCGUUCAAAUCACAUUGAAGACGCCUGUUCUCGUUUGAUCACUGAAGUUAAGCUAUGUUGAAUCCUGUUAGUACUUAGAUGAGGGACCGCUUGGAAACGUCGGGUACUGUAU